CUGUCCCUAUGAUGUUAGCACUGGGCUCUGAAAGCGUGUGAGAGACAACUGUGCCCCUCUGUACUGACAUGCAGAGGUCCUGAGGGACAG